rnacentral:rRNA from 1 species
UCUGGUGUCCUUGGCGUAGAGGAACCACACCAAUCCAUCCCGAAUUUGGUGGUUAAACUCUACUGCGGUGACGAUACUGUAGGGGAGGUCCUGCGGCAAAAUAGCUCGAUGCCAGAA